rnacentral:ncRNA from 16 species
UUCUCAGUAGCUCAGGGGUAGAGCGGUCGGCUGUUAACUGACUGGUCGUAGGUUCGAAUCCUACUUGGGGAG